rnacentral:rRNA from 1 species
GACGAACGCUGGCGGCGUGCUUAACACAUGCAAGUCGAACGGAAAGGCCUCUUUCGUGGGGUACUCGAGUGGCGAACUGGUGAGUAACACGUUUGUAACCUGCCCUUUACUUUUGGUUAACUUCAUGAAACUGUGGCUAAUACCGGAUAGGAGCUCCUUCUUCAUUGUUUUGGUUGUUAAUUUUCGGCGGUUGGGGAUGGAUUCGCGGCUUAUCCGCUUGUUGGUUUGGUUGUGGAUUACCAAGGCUUUGUCGGGUAGACGGCCUGAGAGGGUGAAGGGACAAAGUGGGAAUGAGAAAAGGCCCAGAGUGCGACGGGAGGCAGAAGUGGGGAAUAUUGAACAAUGGGUGGAAGGCGGAAGCAGAAACGCCGUGUGCGGGAUGACGGCCUUCGGGUUGUAAAACGAUUGCGAUCAUGACGAAGCUUUGUGUGACGGUAGUGGGUAAAGAAGCACCGGCUAACUACGUG